GGUAGUGUGGUCGAGCGGUCGAAGGCGCUGGAUUAAGGCUUCUCUUUGGAGGCGUGGGUUUGAAUCCCACCACUGCCA
rnacentral:tRNA from 1 species